rnacentral:rRNA from 1 species
UACGGAGGGGGCUAGCGUUGUUCGGAAUUACUGGGCGUAAAGCGCACGUAGGCGGCUUUGUAAGUUAGAGGUGAAAGCCCAGAGCUCAACUCUGGAACUGCCUUUAAGACUGCAUCGCUUGAAUUGUGGAGAGGUAAGUGGAAUUCCGAGUGUAGAGGUGAAAUUCGUAGAUAUUCGGAAGAACACCAGUGGCGAAGGCGACUUACUGGACACAUGUUGACGCUGAGGUGCGAAAGCGUGGGGAGCAAACAGG